GGGUGCAAGUGUGCCCAGCCUGAUGAGCUCUUCAAACAGAAGUUGAAAAGAGUAGCUCACCAGGCAACAUAGCAUUUGGGAAUCUGAGCAGGAGAUUGACAAAUGGUAUUAUACGCUGACACAGGCAGAGCAGCAGCCCUGCCUGAAGUCCAGGCAAGGAGUAGGGAAACAAGCAUGCAGCCCAAAAUAAGCACAUUUGAAAGACUCACAGGACAAGGGAGAGCGGACCCUUCAGUGGAUAAAGAAUUGGCUUGAAGGUC